GAACGUUUCACCCUGCAGGACAACGAGCCAGAGCCUUGCAUACCAGGGGCAGGCAUUAGACCACACCCGCUUUGACUGUUAGACUCAUCUGCAGUGUUUGUGCCACUAGUGAGAUGCGCCUAAUGGGGGACUUCAUCCCCCACCUCACCCUGGUGUAAGUAGUUUACUGGAUGGGAAUUUGGGCUCCUAGAAGUCUUCAUCUUACUAUUUAUGUACCACCUCUGAAUUGAACAGGUGUUAUAAAAGGGUAAACUGAGGCUAAAAGCUACCUCAAGAAGAUGCCUGGAGCAGGGUUCAAGAUCAAUCUUGCUUUUAGUCUCAGCCAUAAACCAUCUGAGCUUUGGGUAAGUCACUUGACCACCAGGCCGGUUUCCUCAUUAUGACAGAAUGGAAUUCUGAAUUCCCUUUCUGUUGUAAUAGUCUGAUUGCACAAUUUUCCCUUAGAGAAGUUUCAUACCUGUUAGAUCUCCUGCUGCCAGGAGCUAACCUCCUGGGAGACAGGUCUUAUCGUCAUCCAGGCAUAUAGGAGGGUGUUGGGAAAACACCUGUAGUGGAUGCUGGAUUGUGCCAUUCAGAGCCAGCUCCCUUUGCUAUUGAAGAACUUAUUUCCCUACAUGUCAAGACUUCUGCUGGCUGAUGGCCCCCAGCUGUGAGCUCUUUCAGGCAUCACCUUUGGCUGCAAAAGGCUCCCUCUCCUGAAGUUACUACCUGCAUCCCUGGAGGCAGACUUCAUCUCAUGUCUUCAUCCAAAGUUUGAACAAAUUGGCUAAGAAGGUGCUAGACAUGUAAAGGGACUAUUUUUUUUCUUAAUUCAAAUGUAGGAGGAGUAUGGAUCUCCAGGAACCAGAAGAGCUGCAUACAUAUAAACAAAGCUCCAAAUUUGGAAGCAGCAGUGAAACUCCACAGCAGUGAAAAGAAAGAAAAAAAGACUAAGCCAGGAAACCUCUUGAAGGCCCAGAGAAGUAGGCACGUAUAUAAGAUGCCCAGACUGGAGCUGCCACAUAGGAGACACUUGGUGAGCUCUCAAGGGAGAUUGGAUGUCUAUGGAGAAUCCACGUACCUAUAUCAUAUUAGUUGGAGCAAAACACAGACUCUGGGAUGA
rnacentral:lncRNA from 1 species